CCUACGGGUGGCUGCAGUGGGGAAUAUUGCACAAUGGGCGAAAGCCUGAUGCAGCCAUGCCGCGUGUGUGAAGAAGGCCUUCGGGUUGUAAAGCACUUUCAGCGAGGAGGAAAGGUCAGUAAGUAAUAUUUGCUGGCUGUGACGUUACUCGCAGAAGAAGCACCGGCUAAUUUAGUGCCAGCAGCCGCGGUAAUACUAAAGGUGCAAGCGUUAAUCGGAAUUACUGGGCGUAAAGCGCGCGUAGGUGGUUUGUUAAGUUGGAUGUGAAAGCCCAGGGCUCAACCUUGGAACUGCAUUCAAAACUGACUCACUAGAGUACGAGAGAGGUUAGUGGAAUUUCCUGUGUAGCGGUGAAAUGCGUAGAGAUGGGAAGGAACACCAGUGGCGAAGGCGACUGACUGGCUCGAUACUGACACUGAGGUGCGAAAGCGUGGGGAGCAAACAGGAUUAGAUACCCCAGUAGUC
rnacentral:rRNA from 1 species